AACGAACGCUGGCGGCAGGCUUAACACAUGCAAGUCGAACGGGUGUAGCAAUACAUCAGUGGCAGACGGGUGAGUAACACGUGGGAACCUUCCUCGUUGUACGGGACAACUCAGGGAAACUUGAGCUAAUACCGUAUACGUCCGAGAGGAGAAAGAUUUAUCGCAAUGAGACGGGCCCGCGUCGGAUUAGCUAGUUGGUAGGGUAACGGCCUACCAAGGCGACGAUCCGUAGCUGAUCUGAGAGGAUGAUCAGCCACACUGGGACUGGGACACGGCCCAGACUCCUACGGGAGGCAGCAGUGGGGAAUCUUGGACAAUGGGCGCAAGCCUGAUCCAGCCAUUCCGCGUGAGUGAAGAAGGCCUUAGGGUUGUAAAGCUCUUUUGCCAGGGACGAUAAUGACGGUACCUGGAGAAUAAGCCCCGGCAAACUUCGUGCCAGCCGCCGCGGUAACAC
rnacentral:rRNA from 1 species